rnacentral:rRNA from 1 species
AAUAGAUACCCGGGUAGUCCACGCCGUAAACGAUGAGUGCUAAGUGUUAGGGGGUUUCCGCCCCUUAGUGCUGCAGCUAACGCAUUAAGCACUCCGCCUGGGGAGUACGGUCGCAAGACUGAAACUCAAAGGAAUUGACGGGGGCCCGCACAAGCGGUGGAGCAUGUGGUUUAAUUCGAAGCAACGCGAAGGAACCUUACCAGGUCUUGACAUCCCAUUGACCACUAUGGAGACAUAGUUUUCCCUUCGGGGACAACGGUGACAGGUGGUGCAUGGUUGUCGUCAGCUCGUGUCGUGAGAUGUUGGGUUAAGUCCCGCAACGAGCGCAACCCUUGUUCUUAGUUGCCAUCAUUUAGUUGGGCACUCUAAGGAGACUGCCGGUGACAAACCGGAGGAAGGUGGGGAUGACGUCAAAUCAUCAUGCCCCUUAUGACCUGGGCUACACACGUGCUACAAUGGACGGUACAAACGGUUGCCAACCCGCGAGGGGGAGCUAAUCCGAUAAAACCGUUCUCAGUUCGGAUUGUAGGCUGCAACUCGCCUACAUGAAGCC